CGUGCUCGCUUAGGCGCACAAUAUACUAAAAUUAGAACCAUACAGAGAGGAUUGGCAUGGUGCCUGUGCAAAGGUCACACACAAAUUUGUGAAGCAGUCCAUGUUUUU